rnacentral:rRNA from 1 species
GACGAACGCUGGCGGCGUGCCUAAUACAUGCAAGUCGAGCGAAGUUUUUCUGGUGCUUGCACCGGAAAAACUUAGCGGCGAACGGGUGAGUAACACGUAGAGAACCUGCCUUAUAGACUGGGACAACUAUUGGAAACGAUAGCUAAUACCGGAUAACAGCAUUAACUGCAUGGUUGAUGUUUGAAAGUUGGUUUUGCUAACACUAUGAGAUGGCUUUGCGGUGCAUUAGCUAGUUGGUGGGGUAAAGGCCUACCAAGGCGACGAUGCAUAGCCGACCUGAGAGGGUGAUCGGCCACACUGGGACUGAGACACGGCCCAGACUCCUACGGGAGGCAGCAGUAGGGAAUCUUCCGCAAUGGGCGAAAGCCUGACGGAGCAACGCCGCGUGAGUGAAGAAGGAUUUCGGUUCGUAAAGCUCUGUUGUUAGGGAAGAAUGAUUGUGUAGUAACUAUACACAGUAGAGACGGUACCUAACCAGAAAGCCACGGCUAACUACGUG